rnacentral:rRNA from 1 species
UGGCGGACGGGUGAGGAAUACAUCGGAAUCUACUCUGUCGUGGGGGAUAACGUAGGGAAACUUACGCUAAUACCGCAUACGACCUACGGGUGAAAGCAGGGGAUCUUCGGACCUUGCGCGAUUGAAUGAGCCGAUGUCGGAUUAGCUAGUUGGCGGGGUAAAGGCCCACCAAGGCGACGAUCCGUAGCUGGUCUGAGAGGAUGAUCAGUCACACUGGAACUGAGACACGGUCCAGACUCCUACGGGAGGCAGCAGAU